rnacentral:rRNA from 1 species
UACCAGCAACCCGAGUGGUCGGGACGAUUAUUGGGCCUAAAGCAUCCGUAGCCGGUUCUACAAGUCUUCCGUUAAAUCCACCUGCUUAACAGAUGGGCUGCGGAGGAUACUAUAGAGCUAGGAGGCGGGAGAGGCAAGCGGUACUUAGUGGGUAGGGGUAAAAUCCGUUGAUCCAUUGAAGACCACCAGUGGCGAAGGCGGCUUGCCAGAAUGCGCUCGACGGUGAGGGAUGAAAGCUGGGGGAGCAAACCGG